CAUAUCAGAUUGAGACACUGGUUCUCAUCCAAUUACUAAAGUUAAGCAACGUUGAGCCAGGUCAGUACAUAGAUGGGUGACUGCUUAGGAAUACCAGGUGCU